UUCUUGCUCCAUAAUAGGUAGAUUGUCCUAAACACCUAAUUAGGGGGAAGAAAAGCCAAAACCCUAUAAACCUUUUGUAAAUAUUUCAUAUUUCAUCAUAUACAAAGACAAAGAAAGAAACACGUUGGUGUUUGGUGAAGAAAACAAAGAAGCAUAGAUAGGAUUAUAUAUAUAUAUAUAUAUAUAAACACAGCUUUGUUCAUAACACAAAUCCAAAGGUUUGUUUUUUAGUUUUUGUUCAUCAAGUCAAAGAAUGAAGGAUUCUGGUUCCUCGGGCGGAGACGCAGCGGCGGGAGGCGGUGGCAGCCACCUCUUGGUGAGGAGGGUGAUGCAAAUGACUAUGGUGGUUGUUGCUUUUGUUGUGGUGUGGAUUCUCAUGUAUAACUCUUCUUCUCCCUUUGCAAUCCCUGUUUUCUCACGUUACAUCACUACUCGUGACUCAACAAUGAUAAGCUAUGACCCAGAACUAGAGAGUGUUCUAAAAAAUGCUUCUAUGGAGAAUAAGACAGUGAUAAUUACAACUUUGAAUGAUGCAUGGGCAGAGCCAAAUUCAAUAUUUGACAUAUUCCUCAAGAGUUUUCACCUUGGGAUUGAGACGGAGAGAUUGUUGAAACACUUAGUGGUAAUAACUUUGGACCAGAAGGCACAUGCUCGUUGCCAAGCUUUGCACCCUCAUUGCUAUCAACUUGAGACAAAGGGUGACAACUUCACCAAAGAAGCAUUUUUCAUGACACAAGAUUACUUGAAAAUGAUGUGGAGAAGAAUUCAGUUUCUUGGCUCUGUUCUUGAAAUGGGCUACAGCUUUGUCUUCACGGAUACUGAUAUAAUGUGGCUGAGGAACCCAUUCAAUGAAUUCUACAAUGAUGGAGAUUUCCAAAUUGCUUGUGAUUUCUAUAAUGGAAACUCCAAUGACUUGAAUAACCUACCAAAUGGAGGCUUCACCUAUGUAAAGUCCAAUGAGAAAACAAUUUGGUUCUACAAGUUUUGGUUGAAUUCAAGAAAAGCAUACCCCAAGAUGCAUGAUCAAGAUGUUUUCAACAAGAUCAAGAUGAACCCUCUCAUUCAAAACAUUAAGUUAAAGAUUAGGUUCCUUGGCACAACGCAUUUUGGGGGGUUUUGCCAGCCCAGCAAGGAAUUCAACCAGGUUUGUACAAUGCAUGCUAAUUGCUGUGUUGGUUUGGACAACAAAGUCAAUGAUCUCAAAAUCUUGCUUGACGAUUGGUCAAAGUAUAUGGCAUUGCCUAACAAUACAAAACCAAAUGUACAUGCUUCUUGGACUGUGCCACAAAGUUGCAAGACAUCAUUUCAGCGUAGUAGAAACAGGAAAAACAAAGGCAGAUGAUGAUGACCAACAAUUCAUAUAAUGAUAUAAUUGCUGCUUGAUGAUUGUAUAAAGGUGUCGAAGGUUGGAUCCAUAUAUCAAUCACUUUACAGAUCACAGCAAAAGAUUUGGGUUGUCAAACCUUUUUUUUCUUAAUUGGAAGUAAACAAAUUGAAAGGAAAAAAAAUGGAGGACAUGGAGAAUUGUUCAAAUUAUCUGAUUAUGUGAAAACUCACAAUUUUGAACUUCAUAGUCUUUUAAGUUAAAUUGAUAUUAUUGUCAUCUUUUUUUUCUUUUAUUAUUUAUCGUGUACAUAAAUCUUUUUUAAAUUUUUUAGAAUAAUAUUA